rnacentral:rRNA from 1 species
UACGUAGGGCGCAAGCGUUGUCCGGAAUUAUUGGGCGUAAAGAGCUCGUAGGCGGCUUGUCACGUCGGGUGUGAAAGCCCGGGGCUUAACCCCGGGUCUGCAUUCGAUACGGGCUAGCUAGAGUGCGGUAGGGGAGACUGGAAUUCCUGGUGUAGCGGUGAAAUGCGCAGAUAUCAGGAGGAACACCGGUGGCGAAGGCGGGUCUCUGGGCCGUAACUGACGCUGAGGAGCGAAAGCGUGGGGAGCGAACAGG